GAUGAACGCUAGCGGCAGGCCUAAUACAUGCAAGUCGAGCGGCAAGUCGAGGAGUAAUCUAAGACCUAGAGCGGCGCACGGGUGCGUAACGCGUAUGCAACCUACCUUAUACUGGGGGAUAGCCCGGAGAAAUCUGGAUUAAUACCCCAUGGCACAUAUUGAUGGCAUCUGAGAUAUGUUAAAGAUUUAUUGGUAUAAGAUGGGCAUGCGUCUGAUUAGCUAGUUGGCGGUGUAACGGACCACCAAGGCGACGAUCAGUAGGGGUUCUGAGAGGAAGGUCCCCCCANACUGGCACUGAGAUACGGGCCAGACUCCUACGGGAGCAGCAGUAGGAAUAUUGGGCAAUGGUCGGAAGACUGACCCAGCCAUGCCGCGUGCAGGAAGACGG
rnacentral:rRNA from 1 species